rnacentral:tRNA from 1 species
GAAUAUGAAGCGAUUUAUUGCAAUUAGUUUCGACCUAAUCUUAGGUACUAAAAGUACCCCUAUUCU